AUGGCAUCCCUGGUUGAGGAGAUUUUGCGGGAGAUCCUUCUGAAGCUGCCGACGAGGGACCUGAUCCGGUCCAGCUGCGUCUGCAGGCUAUGGCGCGCCGUCCCCUCUUUCCGCAGGCUCCACGCCAAGGCCACCCACGUUGUCUCCGGCUCCGGCGUGGAGACCCUGCUCGUCAGGCAGAUCCGUGGGGCGCGCAUAAGCCAAGAGAUGAUGAUCCACAACGUCUCGUCAGCGAAGCCCGUGUGCAGCAUCACCUAUGUCGGCAGUGCGUACAACCCUACCAACGUCUGCAACGGCUUCAUCUGCCUUGCCUCCUGCAUGCCGAACUGGCCAAUCUAUGUGUGUAACCCUCUCACCGGCGAUAAGCUGACGGUUCCGCUGCCGCCACAGAUCGAGGGGGCGGCCUCCCGCAAGUACGCCAUAGGGUUUAAGGCGUCCACCCACCUGUACAAGCUCUUCCGCCUGUCCACCAUGCGGUUCAUGGGCGCCCACUACCUGGACGUGUACACCUUAGGUAGCAAUGGCGGGUGGCGUCGACACCCGUUCCCGUAUAGCCCGACGCAUGGCCUCCACUCGCCACCGCCGGUGUUCCUCGACGGCAAGCUGUACGCGCUGACAGCACGACCACAUACCUUGCAUGUGUUCGACACGAUACUAGUAAUUGACGUGGCGAGCGAGGUACACUACACGUACACCCUCCCAGAGUUCGGGGGAAGCUAUGUGUUGGGAAUGCAUGCCUUCGAGAUGCGCGGGAAUCUGUGCGUCGCCGUAGAUGUCAUUUGCCCACGACGGCUCUGCUUCUGGGUCAUGCUGCCGCUACAGAGCAUGGGCUUGCCUUGCACCUGGGAAUUGCGCUACACCAUCUACAUGGACGAUGAUCAUAACGGCAGCGACAGGUUGAGGUGUGUCUGGUUUGAUGAUGGUGACAGGACGCUGUGCUACAGAAUGGGGAAUUGUCUCUACAAGUAUGACACCACCAAGGACGAGCAGGAAGCCAUAGGUUGUUUCUCGAAGUGGGAUCAUCGGAUCCAGCUGCCAGCAGCACCACGGUCGGAGAACCAACAAUGGAAUGUUUACGGUGGUUACCGUCCCAGCCUUGUCUCGCCUCGUCUCCUAUUUGCACCCGCGCCGUCAUCGUUAAUGCAGCACCAGGAUGAACAAGAACGCUUCGCGCAAGCUUUGGUACAUGCACUGCAACGGCAAAAAUCAUCAAAG
rnacentral:rRNA from 1 species